CCCAAGUGCAGCCCGGGGCAUCUCUUCUCCGGAGAGCCGCUGGCUGCAGGCGGGCAAUACAGCGGCUGUGCGGCUGGCCGUUGCAUCGAGAGCUUUUCCUCCACCAGCAGCCGCCAUAACUGCGGGGCAACCCAAACUUGUUACACACUGGCACCAACUCCUCCUCCUUCGGUCGCUGCCGCUGCUGCUCCUGCCACCGCCCCCAUUUCCAUUCCCAUCAGCGGCUGCAGGCUGCGCAACCGGGUCCGCUUAACCUACUCCCGGGGAGGGGAGGGGGAGGACCCGAAAAGCGACUGGAGAAGUUGGAGGACGCCAGGCUAGCAGGAAUAUGGUGGAUUCCAUUAUGCGUCUUCUGAUGUACAUGAAAUGACCUCAGAAGAAAAACAGGCACAAUAUGGGUAUGUGCAUGGGAGGCUACCAAGGAAGACUGAGGC